rnacentral:rRNA from 1 species
UAGUCCACGCAGUAAACGAUGUCUAUUAGAAGUUUGUGGCUAUAUGCCGUGGGUUUCAAAGCUAACGCAUUAAAUAGACCGCCUGGGGAGUACGGCCGCAAGGUUAAAACUCAAAUGAAUUGACGGGGGCCCGCACAAGCGGUGGAGCAUGUGGUUUAAUUCGAUGCAACGCGAAGAACCUUACCAUCCCUUGACAUCCAGAGAAUCACCUAGAGAUAGAUGAGUGCCUUCGGGAACUCUGAGACAGGUGCUGCAUGGCUGUCGUCAGCUCGUGUCGUGAGAUGUUGGGUUAAGUCCCGCAACGAGCGCAACCCUUGUCCUUAGUUGCCAGCGCGUAAUGGCGGGAACUCUAGGGAGACUGCCGGGUGACAAACCGGAGGAAGGUGGGGGAUGACGUCAAGUCAUCAUGGCCCUUACGGGGUAGGGGCUACACACGUGCUACAAU